rnacentral:lncRNA from 1 species
CGUCCGUUCGUGCUAUCCUGUACGGUGUGAUCACAGCUGAAGUGAGAAGUAAACACUUCUAGGCUUAGAUUUAGAAAAAUGUGUUCUUAAAAAGGGACAAAUAUUAACUGCGGGACAAUACCUUGUGUAUACUAUAAAUAUAGAUAUAAAAGAAGAUGUGGUAUGAUUGCCAAUGAGACAACUCUCCACAAGCGAACAAAAUGACACAGAAAUUAACAACUAUAGGUCACCGUACGGCCUUCAACCAUGAGCAAACCCCAUACUGCAUAGUCAGCUAUAAAAGGCCCUAAAAUGACAAUGUAAAACAAUUGUAGCGAGAAAACUUACGGCCUUAUUUAUUUUAAAAAAUGAACGAAAAAAAUAAAUAUGUAACACAUAAACAAACGACAACCACUGAAAUACAUGGUCCUAACUUAGGACAGGCACAUACAUACAUAAUGUGGCGGGGUUAAACAUGUUAUAGCGGGAUCCCAACC